GGGGGAGAGGAGACAGGAACACUGUCAGCACUGCCAUCUCCACAUACGCAGGACACUGUACAUUUUGCAAUACAUAUUAAACAUCGGGUGAUCUUGUUUUCAGAUGUUCACUGCACGUGGCUUUAUUAGAAACCGCCUGCCAGAGUCUAGACACAGCCAUGGAGUCUGGUGACCUGUGGGAGGGAGCAAGGGCCAGAAUUCCCGCUGAGUCGCCCCAGCCCUCCACCUUAAUCCCCUUCUUAACUUUCCAUCUGCUACUGGAUGCUUGCAGCAGAACCACAACCUGCCAGCCCCUACCCAGCUCCAAACCCCCUCUCUCCCCCGCAGGCGCGCAGCAACCGCCGCGGCAACCCCUUCCCGCGGGACCCGGCAGGCUGGGCGGGGGUGCGGCGGGGGCGGAGCCCGACGUCCUGCUGCUGCUGCCGCCGCUGCCGCCACCGCCGCCUGCGAAGCUGCCUCCCCUUCCACGGAUGCUCCGGCGGGGCAGCGCUGCCCUGCGUGGACAGAUGGGCGCCCCCCGGGCCUGACGGACGAGCAGCCGGGCACGUGAACUCCCGCCUCCAAUUUAGCUCUGUGCCCCGCGCCGGCGGCUGUGGCUGCAGCCCCGCGGUGGGGGCGGCCCCCGCGGUCUCCGCUUGGCUCCUGCGCGCCGCCUCUGCUCUUUGCAUAGUAAUUUCAGUUCCUGCAAGCACCCAGCUCGCUCCCGGAACAGGUCUGAGAAGGACCGCCGCUCCCGAGCACACCGGAGCCAUCCGUGUGGCGCUGAGAGCCACUGCUUGGGAUAUGCGACGGGAAGCCCCCGCCACAGCGCAGGCAGUGACCCCGCCACGCUGGGGAGAGCCGGGCGACAGCAGGUUCUUUUUUCACUCCAUCAACUAAAGUUGUACCGGUACCACCACACCAGGAGAUCAUGAGAGCACCCUCCCAUCAUACUAAGAAGCAACCACAUUCCCCUCCUUGUUUUUCUAACUUCAGUAAAUUCACUUUAAAUGCUGACUGUGAAUUCUUCACCACCAGCUUCAGUAAGUGCAAGUCCAUCAAUCAAAAUACUGUACAAGCUUUGUUCUUUGGCAUAAGGACACUGGCUUAUCAAAAUGUUCAGUAAACUGAGUGAACUGAAGUUAACUCUUAUAGAUUAUUUUCAUUUUAUUUUUUAUUUGUUUUACUUCCAGGGCUGAAAAGUAUAUGAAAGGACAGCUAUUAAUUUAAAAAACCCAGAAAUUUAUCCAUUUAUCUGGAAAUUGUCAAUUUCCCUGGGAAGUAGAGUUCUAAGUAUUCCUUAACUUAAUCCACUUCUCCCUCUCACCCCUUCUUCCCCCAAGAGAAAAUAAACAGCAGUCAUCUGGCCA
rnacentral:lncRNA from 1 species